CCCAGCCCGGAGCGGCUCGCGGCCGGCUCCGUGCCGCAUCGCUCGGGUGCAGCGCAGCUCAGCGCAGCGCGGCGGCCUUUCGGCAGCCGAACGGCCGCGGCAGUUCAGGACAAAGAGGUGUGGGCAGGCCACUGGGCCGGCUGGUAACAUCAUGGCAGAGAAAGUGAACAACUUCCCACCAUUGCCCAAAUUCAUCCCGCUGAAGCCAUGUUUCUACCAAGACUUCGAGGCAGAUAUUCCUCCCCAGCAUCUCAGCAUGACCAAGCGCCUCUACUACCUCUGGAUGUUGAACAGCGUCACGCUGGCCGUGAACCUGGUGGGCUGUCUCGCGUGGCUGAUCGGAGGCGGGGGAGCCACCAACUUUGGCCUCGCCUUUCUCUGGCUCAUCCUCUUCACACCCUGCUCCUACGUCUGCUGGUUUCGGCCCAUUUACAAGGCCUUCAAGGCUUGGGGGCCUUGAAGGCAGGGAAGCCCUGGCCCUCUGCCCAGGUGACGGGAGCCACCUCCUCUGCCGCAGGACUGACAGCUCCUUCAGUUUCAUGGCAUUCUUCUUUACCUUCAUGGCUCAGUUGGUCAUCAGCAUCAUCCA
rnacentral:sRNA from 1 species